GACGAACGCUGGCGGCGUGCUUAACACAUGCAAGUCGAACGGUGAAGCGCCUUCCUUUUUGGUGGGUGUGGAUGAGUGGCGAGCGGGUGAGUAACACGUGAGUAACCUGCCCCCUUCUUCUGGAUAACCGCAUGAAAGUGUUGCUAAUACGGGAUAUUCUGGGUCUGUCGCAUGAUGGGUCUGGGAAAGAUAUUGUUUCGGUGGGGGAUGGGCUCGCGGCCUAUCAGCUUGUUGGUGGGGUGAUGGCCUACCAAGGCGGUGACGGGUAGCCGGCCUGAGAGGGUGGACGGUCACACUGGGACUGAGACACGGCCCAGACUCCUACGGGAGGCAGCAGUGGGGAAUAUUGCACAAUGGGCGCAAGCCUGAUGCAGCGACGCCGCGUGAGGGAUGGAGGCCUUCGGGUUGUGAACCUCUUUCGCCAGUGAAGCAGGCCUGCCUCGUUUGUGGGUGGGUUGACGGUAGCUGGAUAAGAAGCGCCGGCUAACUACGUG
rnacentral:rRNA from 1 species